AUGCACUUAGUGGAAAAGGAAGUGAUCGAGCGAUGACAACCAGGAGGUGGGCUUGGAAGCAGCCAUCCUUUGAAGAAAGCGUAAUAGCUCACUGGUCUAGCUCCAUGGCACCGAAAAUGUCUCAGGGCUCAAGUGAUU
rnacentral:rRNA from 1 species